GAUGAACGCUGGCGGCGUGCCUAAUACAUGCAAGUCGAGCGAACGGACGAGAAGCUUGCUUUUCUGAUGUUAGCGGCGGACGGGUGAGUAACACGUGGAUAACCUACCUAUAAGACUGGGAUAACUUCGGGAAACCGGAGCUAAUACCGGAUAAUAUUUUGAACCGCAUGGUUCAAAAGUGAAAGACGGUCUUGCUGUCACUUAUAGAUGGAUCCGCGCUGCAUUAGCUAGUUGGUAAGGUAACGGCUUACCAAGGCAACGAUGCAUAGCCGACCUGAGAGGGUGAUCGGCCACACUGGAACUGAGACACGGUCCAGCCUCCUACGGGAGGCAGCAGUAGGGAAUCUUCCGCAAUGGGCGAAAGCCUGACGGAGCAACGCCGCGUGAGUGAUGAAGGUCUUCGGAUCGUAAAACUCUGUUAUUAGGGAAGAACAUAUGUGUAAGUAACUGUGCACAUCUUGACGGUACCUAAUCAGAAAGCCACGGCUAACUACGUG
rnacentral:rRNA from 1 species